UUGGCGGGCUGUGCGUGCUCGCGGUGGGCGGUGGCGGCGGCUGCCUCGCGAAGGUUCCAGAUCCGUCGCGUGCAGAAGGCGGGCCGCGGUCUUGCGCAGGGUCGGUGUGGGCGCAGGCUGCGGCGCCGCGACUCGUGCGGGUAGGCGUCUGCGCUCGGUUUGAGGGCUCGGCGCGGCGUUUCCUGUUCCUUCCUCUGCGCGGCUGCAGCUCGGGACUUCGGCCUGACCCAGCCCCCAUGGCUUCAGAAGAGCUACAGAAAGAUCUAGAAGAGGUAAAGGUGUUGCUGGAAAAGGCUACUAGGAAAAGAGUACGUGAUGCCCUUACAGCUGAAAAAUCCAAGAUUGAGACAGAAAUCAAGAACAAGAUGCAACAGAAAUCACAGAAGAAAGCAGAACUUCUUGAUAAUGAAAAACCAGCUGCUGUGGUUGCUCCCAUUACAACGGGCUAUACGGUGAAAAUCAGUAAUUAUGGUAUGACUUGCUUCCCUAUAGCCAGUUCUGCCUCCGAGCAACCUAUUCCUUAUAGUGGUCUAACAAAUUCAUCCCCAGUGAGUUUUGAGUCUGUGUUUUUGGUGGCUUGGAGCAAGACCCAUCAGUUUUUAUUUAAUAAAACUUUUUUUAGAUAUAAAUAGGAAAGGAUGCGUUCUAGAAGCUGUUAACAAGAGUAAGGUGAUUCACUACAAAAUGU
rnacentral:sRNA from 1 species